GACGAACGCUGGCGGCGUGCUUAACACAUGCAAGUCGAACGAUGAAGCCGGAGCUUGCUCCGGUGGAUUAGUGGCGAACGGGUGAGUAACACGUGAGCAAUCUGCCCUUGACUCUGGGAUAACUGCGGGAAACUGUAGCUAAUACCGGAUACGACACCUUGGGGCAUCCCAGGGUGUGGAAAGAAUUUCGGUCAAGGAUGAGCUCGCGGCCUAUCAGCUAGUUGGUGAGGUAAUGGCUCACCAAGGCGACGACGGGUAGCCGGCCUGAGAGGGUGACCGGCCACACUGGAACUGAGACACGGUCCAGACGCCUACGGGAGGCAGCAGUGGGGAAUAUUGCACAAUGGGCGAACGCCUGAUGCAGCAACGCCGCGUGAGGGAUGAAGGCCUUCGGGUUGUAAACCUCUUUUAGCAGGGAAGAAGCGAAAGUGACGGUACCUGCAGAAAAAGCACCGGCUAACUACGUGCUAGCCGCCGCGGUAA
rnacentral:rRNA from 1 species